rnacentral:lncRNA from 1 species
UUAUAGUUCUCACUAUUGGGUAUUGUUUAUGUUGAUAUUUUUUCUUCACAGGAGGCUCACAACACAUCCGUUCAAAUGCUGGGAUUGUGACUGACUCAGGCAGGAAGAACAAGUCCUCGUGUCAGUGAGUGGAAGGAUGACACAUUUGCUGGAAAAUACAGUGUGUUGUCGUAUUCACACUAACACCACUGAGAAGUUGAUCCUGUUAUUACUCGCAGCAACAUUUCCUGGCUUAGACCUAGCAUACUGGGAAAGAGAUGUUUUAUGUGUUGCUGCUAAAGGAAAGUGGGAUAUAGAAGAAAACAAGAAGAAAAGAGAAGAAAGAAAAGGAAAGAAAAAUCACUGUGUCAUGAUUCCUGAAAGAUACUCGGUCUUGGUCUGUGUAAAUCUCCUGCUUUGUACCUGUCGCCUUCAUGAACCUAGAAGUGCUCUCCCUUUUACAGAUGGAGAAACUAAGGCUAAAGAAAAACAUGUUCGGAAUAAGCAAUAAUCAUAUUAGAUUUCAGUAUGAUCAACCGUUACCGUAAAAAUCUUAUAUCUUGCUCUAUUUUCAGUCACUGCGAAGGCUGGGAAAAUGACAAGUAUGGUUUUUUAAAGUGUAAUGAAAAUGUGCCUGAAAACAUGACAAAAUAUUGUUUAGGCAAGGCCCAAGGCCCAAGUUAGAGCACUUCUUUAAGGACACAGAGGGAAAAGAAAAAACGUCAACACCAACAAAACCUAUCAUUUGCUGAGCAAAAAUCUCCUUCCUACCCCCUGAAGUGCCUUAACACUCCACCUUCUGUUUCUAACAGCUAGAGCUGCUGCAGCUUCUGAAGAUUCAUUCUUGCAGUCCUAUGGGAAGUCACCAGUUUGUCCUUUCAACAGAGUUCCAAAAGUGGAAAAAGGAAGAGUUUAAGCAACUGUCAACCAGGAAACUUUUGUUUGUUUAUUUUAAAAAAGAAGACUUAUCAAGCUAGCCAAGAAAUUUUGUCAAAGUUACAGGCUGUCAUUCUUUAUAAUCGCUCUACUUUCUUUUUCUUUCUGAAUCCUGCAUUUUCAUGGAGGAUAGAUAAUCUUCGGCAUUAUCCUCAUUGGCUCGGCUUAGCUCUGUCCCUUGGGGUCCUGCUGACUCUAUAAACUUUCAACUCCUAAAUCCAGUGCUGGCUCACCCAGGAAAGAAAAAAGCAAACUGAACAAUAAAAUUCAAGCCGUAGCUUCCGUUGUGACUCAAGAAUAGAAAAUGUUGUUAAUGGCCAACAGCAUAUAAAGUGUCAUUAAUCACCAAUAAUUUAUUAUUUCCCAGUGGGGUCCCCAAACAAACACCAUCUUGCCCAACUCCCUUACUAUCCAGGAUUGGAAAAACUUUUCAAAGGUAAUAAUCUGAUUGAAUCUUCAUCUAAGAUUGAGCAGUUUGAAAAUUUUUCAUAAAAAUUAAAUAUACCAAAAAGGAGAAAGUAAGUUUCCUUCCUUUCUUUUCUUUCUUAAGCCCC